AGCUCCAAUAGCGUAUAUUAAAGUUGUUGCGGUUAAAAAGCUCGUAGUUGGAUUUCUGCUCAAGCGUGCUGCCCUCCCCACGCGGGAUGGGUUACCAAGUUUGUGUCUUUCUGGAAACGGAGUAGGUCCUUCAUUGGGCUUUCUUUUGGUUCCGGACUUUUACUUUGAGGAAAUUAGAGUGUUUCAGGCAGGCAUAGCCGGAAUACAUUAGCAUGGAAUAAUAAGAUAAGACCUUUGGUCUAUUUUUUGGUUUCUAGGACGGAGGUAAUGAUUAAUAGGGAUAGUUGGGGGCAUUCGUAUUUAACUGUCAGAGGUGAAAUUCUUGGAUUUGUUAAAGACGAACUACUGCGAAAGCAUUUGCCAAGGAUGUUUUCAUUG
rnacentral:rRNA from 1 species